rnacentral:rRNA from 1 species
UACGUAGGGUGCGAGCGUUAAUCGGAAUUAUUGGGCGUAAAGAGCUCGUAGGCGGUUUGUCGCGUCUGCUGUGAAAACUGGAGGCUCAACCUCCAGCCUGCAGUGGGUACGGGCAGACUAGAGUGCGGUAGGGGAGAUUGGAAUUCCUGGUGUAGCGGUGGAAUGCGCAGAUAUCAGGAGGAACACCGAUGGCGAAGGCAGAUCUCUGGGCCGUAACUGACGCUGAGGAGCGAAAGCGUGGGGAGCGAACAGG